GUUCUUGUAGUUAAAUUUGUAUAACAGUGGCUUUUCAGGCCGUAGAUCCCGGAGAAAGUCCGGGCAGGAACU
rnacentral:tRNA from 1 species